ACCCUUUCAUUUUGGUUAAAAAAAUAAAUAAAUAAAGUCUUGUCUUUCUUCUCUUGUCUUCUUCACUGCCUAACUCCCCCGGUUUCUCCUUCGCCACCUGUUUCCCACACUCCUAUGCCGAUAAAACUCCGGCGUGACUAAGAAUUUGAACUGCCCCAAAAAUCUUCAUUUGUUCUCCUCUCUUCACAGCCAAACCUCCCCUGUUUCGAAUUCGCCUUCCGUCACCGCCUAUUAUCCCGCACUCCAACGACGUUCGACUCUCCGAUGCGACCAGAAAUUUUAACAGUCCUUCGCAUUUUAUUCUCUUAGUUUCUUCGCCGCCAAACCUCCUCCCGCUUCGGGUUCACCUUCUGUCGCCACCUAUUAUCCCGCUCCGGCCCUGUUCGACACUCCGUUCUGGUGCAAAGCUCCAACAUAUCUUAAGUUGUAAUGGCAAGUGGAACGUCGAAGAAAGUGCAGAAACCAGUAUCAUCAUAUUUACAUUAUGCGGAAGUUACAUUAUUUGUUAUCAUUGUGAAAUAGUGCAAGUGCCCAAGAAGGAAAUGUCAAGAGAAAAGUAAGGAGAAACAGAAAUUGCACGUACAUUUGGCCAGAGUGGUCAAAACUUUUGGAUUCAGAGAAGAAGCCUUUCAAACAAAAGACGACCACGGAGAAAGUAGAAUACAAAAAAAAGAGUUAGAAUGUGAAGAACAAGGUGGAAAGAAUAAGCUCCAACCUCUCCAACGAACUGUUGCCUACCAACUCCAUUAUCAGCUCCUUUCUCACUACAUGCUCUACUAAUUACUUCAAUGCCGCUACCUAUUACGCCAUGCACUCCUUUUUUUUUCUUUUCAGGACACUCUCAAUUCUCAAAUGGCGAAUUGUGUUAUCUCGCCAAUCCAACCACAAGCUCCACCAAUUACUUCGACACCACCUCCUAUUUUGCCACACUCUUUUUUUCGUACAUGAUACAGGCAAGAUGCGCGACCCUUUCUUGCCUCCAUCCAAUUGGGUUAUCGUGACAAUCUGACCACAAACUCCACAAGAAACUCAGAAAAGAAGUAAUCAAAUCUCCAACUGUUCAGCUUUGUAGAUGGCAUCUAUGAAAAGAAAACAUCUCUGCUAUGAUGAUAAGAGGUUUUUCUCGGCCACAGUGGAAGAAAGGCUUCAGAACCUAUUACAACUUGGUGCCCUUCUUGAGGUGGGUAUGUCUUUAGAUCUAGUCAAUGUAGAUUUGGGUAAUUUACCGAAUUAUACAAAUAUGAUUGGUAAUAGGGGAUGGAAAACAUGCUGAUUCCUGUAUUCCCCCAUGUGUGUGAGUUCUACUGCAACUGACAAUAAAUGUUUUGUGAGAGAGAAGAAAGUGCCAUUCAAUCCUGAAUCUGUUAGGAAAUGCUAUGAGAAUUGCGAGCACACUGAGUUCAUCAAUUUAUGAUGUACUCCGUCAAGGUUGUGGCAUGGGAGGUUAAAACAUGUUUGCAAUUUGUUAAUCAUUGACAUUUCUAGUUUUCCUGCCAGUCUUUAGCAAAA